rnacentral:rRNA from 1 species
AUUGAACGCUGGCGGCAUGCCUUACACAUGCAAGUCGAACGAGUGGCGGACGGGUGAGUAAUAUAUGGGAACAUACCUAGUAGAGGGGGAUAACUACUCGAAAGUGUGGCUAAUACCGCAUACUAAUAGAUCGGCCAAGAUCUGAGUAGCUAGUUGGUGGGGUAACGGCGUACCAAGGCGACGAUCAGUAGCGGGUCUGAGAGGAUGACCAGCCACACUGGAACUGAGACACGGCCUAGACUCCUACGGGAGGCAGCAGGGUGGAAUUUUGCACAAUGGGCGCAAUCCUUAUGCAGCCAUGCCGCGUGUCUGAAGAAGGCCUUCGGGUUGUAAAGGACUUUUGUUGGGGAGGCGGUACCUACAGAAUAAGCACCGGCUAACUACGUGCCAGCAGCCGCGGUAAUAC